UACAGGGGGGGCAAGCGUUGUUCGGAAUUACUGGGCGUAAAGGGCGCGUAGGCGGCCUCUGCAAGUCGACUGUGAAAUCUCCGGGCUUAACCCGGAAAGGUCAGCCGAUACUGCAGGGCUAGAGUGCAGAAGGGGCAACUGGAAUUCUCGGUGUAGCGGUGAAAUACGUAGAUAUCGAGAGGAACACCUGCGGCGAAGGCGGGUUGCUGGGCUGACACUGACGCUGAGGCGCGAAAGCUAGGGGAGCGAACGGG
rnacentral:rRNA from 1 species